GCCUGGCUAAUCGGCCUUCUGUCAGGAGUAGGCCACAGUUUGAUCAUGAAGCCACAGACACGUUCGGUGGUGAGACAUUGAAACAAGUUACCUGAGGAAGUUGUGGAUGCCCCAUCACUGGCAGUGUUCAAAGUCAGUGCUCCUAAUUCCUACUUACAACAAUAGUCCUUCUAUUAUGUGCUUGUAGAAAUGAAUGUUUGUAGAGAACCAAAUAGAUCUGAUGCUGACAGCUUUCUCAGAUGCAAGGCUGUCAGACUGUGUGCUUCACUACUGUGCUAAUGACAAGGGAGCUCUGCUUUUACAAGAAAGUCAGGACACCGGAUCUGAAAUUAUUUCCUGGAACACUAAUAAGUUUACUGGAGACUGAGAAGAGAACUGAAGGAGAUAGAGAUGAACAUCACCCAUGUUGAAGUAGAGUUGAAAUAGUCCCUGAGAGAGCUGAUGUACAGUCCAUGUUUCCGUUGAGGAAUGUUGGUCUUCCACUGGCCAUGUGUGCAGACAAGCUGACCAACUGGCCCCAUGGGCUCUGAGUGCUGACACCAGCCAUGCAGAAUUGAAUCUUGUGAUCUCCCAAAACAUGUCUUUCCUGUGGACCUUCCUGUGAACCUGGAGUGAUGGGAGCCUUCUGUUAGUGGGCAUGCCCAGAUGGAUCAGCAAUAGAGUCCCUAAAGGAAGGAGCUGAAUGGCCACACAAAAAGUAGCCUGAGCUGCAUUCUUUGUUCACCAUAGCACCUGCUUGGUCAGACUAUGCUACAAGAGACACAGGUGGUUCCUACUUUAAAGUGGAUAAAGAGGAAGGUGCCACAGAGGUGAACAAAAGAGUGUAGAAUUUUCUAUCAUACCUGAAAAAUUACCUAUAGCACCUACCUUAUUAAGCUGUCAUGGAAGCCAAGACUGUGUUGAAUCAUUACAUCAGGAUGUUCCAGUCACUGGGAGAGUUCAGCUUUCUUUGAGGUUUGUGGUUCAGGGUUCAGACAGAGAAUUGUGAAGUUUCCUGACUGAAAGGAAGUAAUUAUUUAUAUUCAUAUACUAGUGCAGGAAUAGUAUGUUCCACUGAUAGGGAGGGAAACUCUUCUUGGACUUGGCUAAAAAUACUCAUUCUUUUGAACCUAUAAAAUGGACUUUCAGAGAUGCUCUCGAACUAAAAGCUUCCUUGAGCAACAUGUGUUCGUAUUUAAAAGUAAAGCCAAGGAAUCUGGCUCUUACAAGGCACAUGAAAUGAGCAGCAGGUUGAGAAUUUGAGUUCCAAAUGGCCAAUAAAGUCCAUUUUUAAUGUUACACAGUACUACAGUCAGAGCUACCAGCAGUACUUGCACUAAAUUAUAAUAGCAUUGAAUAUUAAAAAACCCAACCAAACCUCAAACAGCUAUGUACUUCAAAAUUAACCAGGUCAAAGGGUUGGAAGAAUGAGGGAUUUUGAAAGUCUGUAAAGGAAAAAGAAUCAUAACUGUAACUAUAAUCUUUACCCCUGAACAUUAUUUUAUAUAUUUGCUUUUAGUAUUUCUUCACUUCCUGUUUGCAUGAAAAUAAUGUCUUUCACAAGCUACCUCCAUUAGGCUUGUUCCCAAAGGUAUUUAUUUCCAGUCAAAUUAUAUUACUGCUCUUUUUACCAUUUUUUCUUCCUCAGUGUGCAUUUUCUUUAAAAAAAAUAUGAAUUUAUCUUUCUAAUUUAUUUUAACCCAGAAAUUUUCUGCUUGAUAUUUUCUCAGCUAAUGCCAGACAAUUUCUUCCUCCUCCUUCUUGUAAGUCCCCUUUUUUAAGAGCUUCUUGUUUGAUUUCUUCUGAUAUACAUACACCUAUCUCAAGACCUUUAUUGUAACAUUUAUGGGUUUCAUAUAUGUGUAUUCUGCUUUUUUAAUAUUGUUCCUAUGUUUUCUUUCAAGGGAAGUACUACUCUUUAAUUUUCCACACACUGGCAAUAUUUUUAUUGGCCAGAUAGAGAAUAUAAGCUCACACAUUACUAUGUCAGAGGGAAGAGUAAUGAGUUUGCUUUUGUUUUAUUAGAUGUUAAAAAAUGGUUUACCAGUUUCUGAGAAUCAGUUGACACUUUUUUCUCUAUACCUCAUCCCAUUAUAAUUAUCUAUGAGGUGUCCAUGCUGCUCUGGUUUCAUAUCUCUUCUGGUUUUGGCUGCAAUUCUAACAUGUAAAUGGCCAAACAAUCAAUUUAUCCCCCAAAAUCAGUUGAACCAACAAUGUCUGUGGCAGCAAAACUACUAUCUUUUUAGAGACAUUUUAACACAUUAACAAAACAAAUUACUCAGUAAAGGGCUUACAUGCUUCAAGAUUUUUUUUCUGUUUUCUUCCUUUCCAUUACUAGUGAUGCAGCUUUCCCUCUUCACUGGGUGCAUACAUAAAAUCCAAAGUUUGCCCAGAUGGGAGCUGUUAUGGGUGAGCUCCACAACCUCCAGGACAGCAGGAACCUGUCACUGGAUGCUGUGUCAGGUUCAGGCUGACAUGUUUCUUCUGCUCCUCUGCACAUCAAACACAGAAAUACAACAUAGUCCAGCAUCCUUGGGAAGGUAAAACUGCUUUAUCCAAUAGCUUUGGGCUUUGCAUCUGGAUUUUAGGAGGAGCUGCUGGCUAUGCGACUCUAACUCUAAGAAGUGCAACUAUGAAAUCAGAGCGAUUUUGGACAUAAUUAAACUGGAGAGUUACAUCUGUCAAUGUCUAGCACCUUUUUGUUCCUGGGAGCAUUACUUGGGGAUUGCGCCACAUUCCAAAGGAACAAACCAUCUGAACUUCUUCCCAGAGAUCUACAUACAACCCAUCACCCAUCUGAAUAGUCACAGGACUAACAGCAAAAUAAAGAUCCAUGCUGACAUGCAACAGGGAUCCUUAUUUAAUCCUAGAACUGAUACAAUAUUUCAGAAAGCCACUGAGAAGAACAAGGUUUCCAUACACUAAAAGACCUUGGACUGUAUAUCUGUAUACAGGGGGAGAUGAGUAAUUUCUUCAUGAGCCACUCUCAUCAUUAGUCUUUACCAUCAAAAGGUAUUAUCAGAGCUGGCUGGUCACUGGUGUACAUCUCCUUUCCCACCCCAAUAUAAAACCAGCUAGUUUCCAGCCUUUUUCAAUGCUACUACGUUCUUCUCUUUAUUCUUGCUCCUUCCAACCAAGUCACUUCUUCCUUCCUGGUAAUCUGUGUGGCACUGCUCUAAAGAGCAUUGUUGAAAAAAAUGUAAAAGGGUCAUUGCCAAGACCAUUCUUUGCUCUGAACACUGCUUUCUGUUGCCAUGACUGCUGAAGUAGCAAUAUAUACUGUGUUUUAGUGUUUUCAUAGUGUGUUUCCUGUCAGGGUAAGCAGUGGCUGAAAGCCUCUGCCAUGUGCACCACACAGUGGAUGCAUCUUGAAGGAGGUUCUCAUGGACCCCCUCAUGCCCUAAAGAGCUAUUUCUACAAAUGGCACGUCUUGGGUAGCUGGGGUCUGUCAUAACAAAGAUAAAAUAAGGAGAAACAUUAGCUAUGGGUGACUGACUGGACACAAAUAACUAUAGGGUACAGAGGUUUAAAAUGCAGCUCAUUUCCCUCCUUGACCUAGUCCCAGCCCUUAACUGUAACAUCUUGAAGGUAAAUGUUAGAGCAGGAAGACAUUUUUCCUGCAGGGUAUUUCCAUCUUGCACACGGUUUCAUGAAGUUCUCCUUUUAUGAUCACCUUGUGCAAUGCUGUGAGCCCAGCAGAACGGGCUGUGGCAGGGUGUUUUGGCAUUUCAGUCUUGCACUUGGUCCUUCCAGUCCAUGGAAUGCCUCCAAGACGACAGGUGAGUAGUGGCUGAGCAGAUCAGCUGAUUUCACACACGUAUCCACUUUCCUGAACCUGGAUGAAUAUCUGCAGUAAUUCUUUGCUAAUAUUUACCCAAAGAGUUGCACUCUGUGUAUGUUGUACUAUAUCCUGCUUCCAUGCUUUCUACUUUUUUCCUAUACAUUAUUACCUGUGCCUGUUUUGCUGUCUGUCUUUUUGUUCUUUUGUUGCAGUCCACUCUGGAAAUAUUUUGCCCCAUAAUUACACACCUAGUAGAGCAGAGGUUUGGUCUGAGAUGAAGAUAUUUGCACUUAUAAAUACAUAUAAGGACAGCAGUUCAGCUUCUCUUUAUAUGUUCAUGACUUCAUACCACCUUCCACAGUCACCUUCUCAAGACUGGCUUCAGCAACAGAUCUGCAGGGAUGAUGUACCUUGAGGCUCUAAUCACCUUUCUUUAGGUGAUUAGAGCUAUGUCUCCAAUCCUUUGCACUAUUUGUUGCUACACAAGCAAGAGACACAGGUGAAAUACUAAGCACUUCAGCAUCCCUGUCCUUAAUUGAGUGGAGAUGUGUAGUACUUUCAGGAAAUUUGCCUUUUGACUUGGAAAUCUCUGCUCUGCUCCUCCUCUUUCUUUUAUCUUGAAUUGGCUAAUCCUGUUUUCCUCUUAAAUGCAAAACCUGACUAUCCUACAUAAUCCCAAAAUGGCAUCACAGUGUGAAAACCAUCAUGUUCAGAUAUUUCCCCAGUGUAACAAUCAUGAUGGAAAUGCAACAUAUUUUUUUUCCUACAGCAGGGUAGGUGUUACUUUCUAAACUUAGCAGAAGCAACUUCCCAGCUGGCUCCUUGAACAAAUAUGGAAAAACAAACAAGUAGGUUGGAUUCGAUGAUCUCAGAGGUAUUUUCCAACCUAAUUGAUUCUGUGAUUCUGUGAAAUAAAAGUAGACAAACAUUCUAUAACUCCCAAAAAUGGCAGACAAGUGAUCUAGAAGCUGUUUGUUGAAACAAAUAAUCGUCAGAAUAAGUACCUCUAACCACAACCAUCAGUCAUUAAGUUCAUGCAAAUGCAGAAUUCAACUUUAACUUGUAUUUGCAUGUAUUAACUUAUAUAACAAUAAUUAAUUAUUAUUAAUAAUGAGAAGGGUCAAAAUCUUCCUUCCUUAUUUUCUGACUCAACUUAACUUGAAAAAUGGCCCUUUCCCCCUCUGUGCACCAAAGGAGCCUUUCAUCCAAACUGCCUCAGCAUCCUCAGUCCAUUCUCACAUUAGCUUUGCUCCUUGAAUCCCUACUUCACUACUUGCCAGCAUAGAAAAAGAGCUAAAGGGAGACUCUGCCUUUCCUCAGCUGCAGAGUCUUGUUGCCCCUCUGUAGCCCUGCUAGGAGGAAUAGUCAGGAGUCAUCAGCCAAAUCCCUGCCUAACAAGUGGGAAAUUGGACUUGGAACCAAGCCUUGAUUGGUACUGAAUUUCACUGGGACAGCAUCUGAGAAUUUUCAGAAUUUAAAGUACUAUAUUUCUGAGAUGUGAAAAUGUGUGAUCUGGUCAACAGGUUGUUGCGCUUGCAGGUAUCCGUGGUCUCAAACAGCCAAGCAAACAAUCACAAGCCACAGGAUAAUUGCACAGAAGUUUGACAGAAUUAAUUACAGAGACUAUAGGGUCAAUAUAUAUUAUUAGUUCAACUGAAGGUUCUACUACAGAUAAAGACAGAAUAUACUUCAGAAUCUGGGUUUUAACCUGACCAGAGUGUUUUUGUUCAAAAUAGAGUUACAUUUUCUGGCUGAAAUAUGUUAUCUUAAAGAAUAUAAUUAUGGAAAAAACCCGUGACAUGCACAUUGGCAACACGGAUUUCUGAGGACUCUGCUUAUUUCCUGCUGUUGCUGCACCAUAACUCUCAAUAAGAGCAUGCCCUUUCAGGUGUAUUGCUCUCUGUUUAGUCAGCCAAGAGGGAAGCUCUUGGGAUUCAGGAUUGUUUCCAAGAACCUGUGACAGAUACAGUAAUAUUUGUCUCUUCCAUCAUGGAAAAUGUGCUGUCUGACACCUGUGGAAGCCCUGUGUAAACUGGCAUGCUCCUCAUACGUGCAGGCUGGUACUCAGCUCAGUAUAUUUAAACUCCUUAGUACACAGCAACACCCACCAAGAAUAAAUUACUCUUCUAUCCACAUUAGAUGAACCAGGAGAACUCUCCAGGUGAAAGUGCAAUUUUGUUUUUUGCAGUCAUUGCAGAAACAAAUGUGUUUAACCUCUAGGUCUUCAUAGGAGAUAUUUUGGCUGAACAAGAAUCCCAAAUUUGGGACCUGUGUGGUUACAGGUGGUAUGGUUACUAUUAAAAGAAAGCUUUGAAUUAAUCUCAGAUAAAAUAAAGUGAGAGGUCUCUACUUUCUUCUUCUUAAUAUAAGAAAUUUUCUUUCAGACACCUAUCUGCAGAGCACAGCUUAGUAUUAAACAUGCACCUUCGGGUGGAAACCAACUACAAAAUUGUAUUCUUUGCUGUAGUUCUUGUUCGCUUAGAUAAUGGUUGAACAAGCUAGUCUUUGUUUUUGAUGAUGCUUGACUUGAAGUUGUAUAUUUAGUGUUUUGGCACUAAACAGAACAACCUUUUGGCAAUCUCUGUGACUGUGUACUUGCUCAAUACUUUGUUUAAAAAUACUGUCAUGAUAAAAUCUGCUCUUCACUCUAAUAGAAAAUACAUAUUCAAACAGCACAGAUUUUGCUGAGAGAAUGGGAAAAUGCUAAAAUGGGAAUUCUAUACAUUAAGAGUUUAUUAAAUUAAUAUAGUAAGUUAUUAUUAUAUAUUAUACUGAUAUCACAAAUCAUUCUAGUUCUUUGUACGAACAUAUAAAUAAGUAUCUGUUCUGGACAUAAAGCCAUUCAAUGACUUGGUAACACCGUUCCUUGACAAUAUCAACCUUGGAUGGGCAACAAGUACUCAGAAAUUGCAGAGGGAAAUAGAUGCCAG